rnacentral:rRNA from 1 species
GACGAACGCUGGCGGCGUGCCUAAUACAUGCAAGUUGAGCGAUGAAGAUGGGUGCUGGCCCCAAUUGGAAGAGCAGCAAACGGGUGAGUAACGCGUGGGGAAUCUGCCUUUGAGCGGGGGACAACAUUUGGAAACGAAUGCUAAUACCGCAUAACAACUUAAAACAUAGGUUUAAAGUUUGAAAGAUGCAAUUGCAUCACUCAAAGAUGAUCCCGCGUUGUAUUAGCUAGUUGGGGAGGAAAAGGCUCACCAAGGCGAUGAUACAUAGCCGACCUGAGAGGGUGAUCGGCCACAUUGGGACUGAGACACGGCCCAAACUCCUACGGGAGGCAGCAGUAGGGAAUCUUCGGCAAUGGACGAAAGUCUGACCGAGCAACGCCGCGUGAGUGAAGAAGGUUUUCGGAUCGUAAAACUCUGUUGGUAGAGAAGAACGUUGGUGAGAGUGGAAAGCUCAUCAAGUGACGGUAACUACCCAGAAAGGGACGGCUAACUACGUG